rnacentral:misc_RNA from 1 species
GUUAAGUCGAGCUAAGUUUUUACAGAACCACAGAGCAGAGAGAGAAUCAUUACAGCCUGCUGUAGCCUGAGUCUUCAAUCCUGCAACUUUUGGGACCAAAAUUUUGGUAAACUGAACUCGCCAUUAAAUUUCAUGGUAAAUCUCCAAGAGUCUGAAACAAAAUCUCGAUAUCGCUAUGCCCCUGCUUUAACUUGAGUGGUUUGAAGCAGGAAAUCCAUGGAAUUCAUAUAUAGCAAGAAGUUAAACCAACCAUAAUAGUAUAAGGAAUCUCCCAUUAG